AUUGUUUCUAGAGUAGUUAUAACAGUUAACCUGCAGUUUUAAGUAGUUCACCAAAAACUCCACACUCUCACCUCUCUGCCGUAUUUCAGGGUUAUCUAUCUAGGUUAUAAACGGUUUCUUGGUUCCAACCACGUCCUACCUCUCUCUUCUAAUUUAGGUGGACAACCUCAACAACGCUCCCCAUAUCAAACUUCCCACCAUCACCAUCGAUCUCCCUCACCGGCAUCCCAAAACUUGCAUCAAAAAUAUCUGAUUUUCUUGAUUCUUGCUCUGAAUAAAACCGGGUUUUGUUUUCAUUCAUCCGCAUCAUGGAUUCCUCUUCGGGAUCAGAAUUUGAUUAUUUGUUCAAGUUAUUUAUGAUUCGGGAUUCCGGAUUUGGUAAGAACAAUUGUUUUUACGAUAUUUUUGAUAUGAUCUGAAAUUGUUUUGAUUAAAAGCCAGAGUAGCAUUGAUUUGGUUUACACCUACGUUGGAAAAUUUAGGCCUGGUGCUGCUAAAUAUGCAUCAUUUUCUUUAAGCAUGUUGUUUAAUUUCGACGACAGUAACCUGCGUAUAAUCUGCCGAAUCAGGAAGCUUCGCCAUUUAGGUGAUGUUCAUACAUCGUUUACAAGGUAAAUUAGCUCCGUGAUGGUAUAGUUUCAUAUUUGUAGCUUGAUCUUUGAUUAACGGAUUAGGCUGGGUUUGUAAUUUGUAUCCAUUCCUUCGGUUCCAUUUGGUUUUGAUGCAAAAUUGAUGUGGCGAAUAGAGAUCCAUCUAAAGUUCGCUAAUUCUGAGACAUAUGCUUGAUGUCUGAGAUUGGUCAGGCUGUAAGUAAUUAGAUAUUCCGCAGCUUGCUUUCCAUAUUAUGGUCUUUAAUAUCUCAGAAAAACUUUAAUCUUUCUUGUAGUGAUUAAGAUCAUAUAAAUCUUGUAAUAUAUUUGUGUCUAGUCUCCAAGUGUGAUUACAAAAGCCCAAUCCGAAGCUCUUGCUGGUGGAUGCACUUUCAAGAUGAUUCAACAUACAUAUGUGAGACUGCAACAAAGACUUGCCAGAUGACCUUGCUCAGUUAGGUUAAUUUUAGUGGAGCUUUUGCCUUUUGGUGGACAUUUGCCAACUUUUAAAGUCUGCUAUUUUUUUGCAAACGGUGUGCACAAAGAGGUCCUGAUUCAGUGUGUUCAUGAGUUGGUUACGGCAUCAAUGAAGUAAAAAGAAACCCACACGUAAUUACAUGUUUUUGGAGCUUGAGGAGCCAUGUCAUCAUGGAUACAAGCACGGAAGGACAAGGGGUCAAAAAGUAAACACUAAAGCUAUGCGUAAAUUCGGACGCACGAGGUGAUGAGAAGAAAUACACUCAUGCUAAUUUCCAAGGCAGUUGUAGCCAUUCGGUUUUUUCAGUGGACACUGGACAAUAGGAAUGGUCAAAGUCAACCAUAAAAUUUGUGAUCUUCUCCUCGUAGAUUGAUGGAAAAGACACAGCUCCAAGGAGAAAUCCCAUCAGAUGCAUUCCAUCCUCAGUUAGAGAGUUUGUAGUUAAGUGGCCAUUGAGAUCCUACAUGGGCAAUUUGGUAAUUAACCAUAAGUAUGAAGUCCUAUACUCUAUGUUGUGAAAGGCGCACUAGGUGCGUGUAGGCGUUCAAGCGAGGUGCACGCCGAAAAGGGCGUCAUGGCAGUCCAGGCGUAAUUCUAUAAAAAAAAUCUGGAAAUUUUGGUAUAAAUAGCUUUAACCUAUCGAAAAUAUCCAAAAAAGUGGCCUGAACCUUGAUCCUUGCAGGUUAGUUGGAGCAGAUUUAGAGAAGAUGGAAGUUUAGGCUACUAUAUUACACACACAAAUGGCUAGAUUGCAUUGUUCACAUGUGUAGAUAAAUAUAGGUUGAUAAAAAUGUGUAGAAGUUCAUUAGUUUCUGUAUAAAGGAUAAAAAGUCCAUUAGUUUCUGAAUUUUAAAAUUGUUUUUGUUUUGUCUCUACUGGUGUAGAAGUUCGAAAUUUGCAAGUUGAACACUGAUUGUUAAGUGGUAAAGUGUUUUAGUUUUGUUUCUUUUGGAGGUGGAAAAAUAAGGAGAUAGGGUAGGUAGAGUAAUGGGUCAAAAUGGAUUAGGUUGACCAGGACUUUUUUAUGUCCAAACGCUUUUGUGCUGCGGCUUUAGAUCAUGUCGUCUCGGUGCGCUUCUCGCUUAUGAAAGCAAUCCUGGUUCUCAAUGCACUAUUGUUUCCGAAAGUUUAUAUUUAUAUAUAUUCAACCAUUUCAUGAAUUUAUCCUUGAUAAUAUCU